rnacentral:rRNA from 1 species
AAACCCACCGGGGUUGCCCUAGUAACGGCGAGUGAAGCGGCAAAAGCCCAAAUUUGAAAUCCUCUUUUGAGGAGUUGUAAUUUGGAGAUGGAGUGCUGGACUCAGCUCUGUGGAAGUUGGCUGGAAAGCCGCGCCUUGGAGGGUGAUAGCCCCGUGCCACGGAGGUCCUGUGUCUGUGUAGUACUCUUUCUACGAGUCGCGUUGUUUGGGAAUGCAGCGCUAAGUGGGUGGUAAAUUCCAUCUAAGGCUAAAUAUUGGCGAGAGACCGAUAGCGAACAAGUACUGUAAAGGAAAGAUGAAAAGCACUUUGAAAAGAGAGUGAAAUAGCACGUGAAAUCGUUGAAGUGGAAGGGCUUAAAGCUACACACCUUCUUCGGAAGGGGCUAACAUCAGUUUUGCCGGAUGGAUAAAUGGUAAAGAAAGUGGCAUCUUCGGAUGUGUUAUAGCUUUAUCAAAUACGUCCCGGCGGGAUUGAGGACCGCGCUUUAUGCAGGGAGGUGGCCUUAUGGGUUUAAGCCAA